rnacentral:rRNA from 1 species
AAUCUUCCGCAAUGGACGAAAGUCUGACGGAGCAACGCCGCGUGAGUGAAGAAGGUUUUCGGAUCGUAAAACUCUGUUGGUAGGGAAGAACAAGUUAGGUAGUAACUGGCCUAACCUUGACGGUACCUAACCAGAAAGCCACGGCUAACUACGUGCCAGCAGCCGCGGUAAUACGUAGGUGGCAAGCGUUGUCCGGAUUUAUUGGGCGUAAAGCGCUCGCAGGCGGUCUUUUAAGUCUGAUGUGAAAGCCCACGGCUUAACCGUGGAGGGUCAUUGGAAACUGGAGGACUUGGGUGCAGAAGAGGAGAGUGGAAUUCCAUGUGUAGCGGUGAAAUGCGUAGAGAUAUGGAGGAACACCAGUGGCGAAGGCGACUCUCUGGUCUGUAACUGACGCUGAGGAGCGAAAGCGUGGGUAGCGAACAG